AUGAGCAUAUGUAGCUGUUGCCUGCCUGUCCUGCUUCUUAUAACAGCUGUGUAUUCAGCUUCCAUGAGAGGUCACAAUGAAGAGUUUCUGAGCUUUCUGAAUGAUGCCUUUAAUAUGAUCACUCCUCCUGAAAGCCCAGCCCCAGAAAUCAUCUCUGUUUCAGACACACCAAACUUUGUUCAUCUUCCAGAUCCAGAUCCAACAGCAGUGUGCACAACUCCUGCUCCAGUGUAUAGCUCUGCUGACAUUUUAGAAGCCAGUAUAAAUCUAGAGCAAGAAUCACUGACAUUUUCAGAUACUGCUGAUGAAAAAUCCAAAGAGAACAGCAAUUCUGCAGAUCGUACAGAUUCUGAUGACAGAAGCUCAAAGAAAAGGAACAGACUGCCUGAAAAUCUCGGAUGGUCACCAGAUUAUAAUUCAGCUGAUAGCAACAGUGCUGAUAUGACAAACACAGACACAGAUGCUAUCGUCGUCAUUAAAGAGAGACCCAGCAAAACGCAAGGUCCAGUCACUGUGCACCAAAACAGCGAGGAGAUGGGUGGACGUCUGAAUUUUGAGAAGCAUCGAGGGAAGAAGAGGAUGAUGGACAGAGUCAAAUUAAGUGAGAAUGGAAUCGCUGGAACCAAGGUGCCUGAGGCUACAUAUAAUUACCCACCUCAGCAAUCUCUGACCAAUGAGAGGAAGAGGAACAGCAAAUCCGAGCUGAAGGUGGACAUCCCACUGAGUGAUACUGAAGGUAGUACUGAUCCACAGUUGGACUGUGUGGAGGUAUCCAGCAAGGCUAUGGGAAAUCUGAAUGGGGAGAACACAAGAACAGCUGGUCCAGGUACAGAUCCACAGAACAAAGACGGGAUCACCAACUACAAGAGCCAGCUGAAGAGAAUGUGUGCUGCUAGAAAACGACUGAGAACACUCAGCAUCCCCAGAGAGCCUCUGGACCCAGACAGUGCAGAAAGAGUCAACAGUGAGCUUCUAGACAGAGACAACAGCAAUGAGAGGAUGGAUGCUGGCAUGCCUGCUCUUUUCUUGUGAGACACUCUGUUAAAAAUAUAUAUUUUUUUCAGUGUUUCAAAAUACAAAGUGUUUAUUACGAUUAUUUUGAGUCCCUCUUUCUUAUGAGUACAGAAAUUAUUGUGUGUAUUUAUCUAACACUAACAUUUUAAUGUAGAUUAAUAAUGAGUGAAUUAAUUCAUACGUCUUCAUCAUUACAGAUUUCAGUAGCCUACACUGCCAAUUAAAUAUGUUACUCAGGAA
rnacentral:lncRNA from 1 species